rnacentral:lncRNA from 1 species
UUUCGAUUUUUGAGUUUUGUGUUAUUGGUAUACUGUUAUGUCCCAAGUUAGGAGCCCGUUAUUCUGUGGUUGUCCUUAGUUACUGUCUAUAAUAUUUUUUUUUUUCGUUUAUUGUUUUAAAUCAGGCCGUUCAGGUUUUCGUGAAUGGUUUCCCUUUUUGCCAUGCUGUUUAUAUUUGACUUCACGGUAUGAGGUUUGCUCAUUUCUGAAGGCUGCUUACAUCUGCCAUUCGUACACUAUUGGCUAAAUGUCCUAUUUGCAAUCAUAUCAGAAUUCAUG